CAAAUGGCGGUUUAUAAAGUUCUCGACACCUGUCGCCAUCUCUUAAUUGCUUCAAAUCGCUAAAUUUCUAUGAAAUAAAAAUGAUUGUAAAAAAUGGGAUGAAAAUAACGAGUGCGUCGCGAUUGCGACCAUCGAAAGAAUAUCCCUGAGAACUACAUAUCAAAGUUGAUUUUACUGCAUCAAGGGCCACCAAGAUCUGCAACGAUACUGUGUUUUGCAAUAAUUAUCUUUAAAUCUUAACAACCCUAGAGACGGUGAUGGUGCUUGGAAAAUUUUGAAUGCCACCAAGGAUAAAAGUAUUCAUUCGAUGAGCACGCCGGGGUGGACUUGCAAGCUAUCUCCGACGCCAAAGAACGACUCAAAGAUGUUUUUGCUCGUCACACUAUGUGCUUCUGUUAGUCUCAUCAUUCUUUUCUAUUGGUACAAUAUGUUGUGGUGCUUCUUCUAUGGAUCCCUUACGAUAUCUUGUUGCUUCUGCGGUACGCUACUCGUAGUCUUGAUUCACAUUGCUUUGUCACCGAGACAUCAAACCGGAGCUGGAACUGCGAAGACCAUUGCAGAGAUGGAUGCAUUCCGUAAUAUGCUAAUGAAAGGCUACGAGCCCAAACCUCUGAAUGACAGAAAGCACUCACGUUACCCUGUUAUCUUUACGAGGCUAGUCGAUGGAGCCUUGCAGAAUCUUCUUGACUUGAUUUUCAGAGAUUUUGUUGGCUUCUGGUUAGAUGAUCUAGCCUUUGAUCCAAAGCAGAUCAUAGAUAAUAUGAAACAAGAUAUCUGGGGAGCUAUUCAAAGUCUACACGAACGAUUAUCGCGUGUAGAUCAUGCCAAGCUUGUAGCCUGCAGCAUCGUUAACAAAGUCACGUUUCAUUUCGAGAAAAUCAGAAUCGCACAAGCUGCUGUAUCGGAAGGAGAGGACCCAGUUUUUAUUUUAUCGGCACACCUUAUGUCAAGUACAGCAGAAUUGGAGUACCUGAGAAAAGUCAGCGAAUUGUGUAUCAUGUUCUUCUUACCUCGAAGUUAUUCCCUUUCACUAUCAAAAUUCCUCCUGCGAGAAGUAAUCGCAUGUAAAAUCCUCAAACCUGCCAUCGAUUUAAUAACGGAUCCCGAUUAUAUCAACCAAAAAAUUCUACUCUACAUAGAGCAGCAACAGUUAACGGAAGCUAUGCAUAGAAAAACUUAUGAGUAUGCCGAGUCAUUUGAAGACUUUAUUUGUAUGAUACGGAGCUCAAAGGACCUGGAGGUUCUAAAGCACAUCAGAUACAAUAUCGUAACCGAAAUCAUGCAAGCAACAACUGUACAGAAUAUAAAAAGGAGUCAGGGAUUAGAUCCAGAAAACAAUGCUUUCAGCAAGUGCGAUGGGACCCAGGCUAGAAAACUAAAGAGGUACAUUAGUCAAUUGACGUACGCCAAAAAUACAUGCGAAUCUCAAAUGCAAACAUUAGGCUGGGACGGGUGUCCGAUUCAGGAAAGUGACAUAUCAGAUCCUACUGCCAUUGCGGAGGGAAGAGUCUUGCCACUGCAGACGAUCCUGGACAACGUGACAGGACGCCGAUACCUAUCUCAAUUCUUGGAGCAGGUCUCCAGUCAGGGUCUUAUUGGAUACUGGGCAGCGGUUCAAGAAUUAAGGGCCUCCGAGAGAUCUAACUGGCACCAGCUGGGCGCUGAGAUAUUUUACACUUAUAUUCGAUCUCCUACCGCGGAGAUUAAAGUCGACAAGAAUGUCAGGAAGAGAAUGGAGAGUUUCCUCCUCGGUGACAAGGGUCCUGAUGUCUUCUACGAGGUGCAGGAGUCCGUCGUCAAGACGAUCGAAGAGAAGUACUAUUCCUCCUUCCUAGUUAGCGAGCAGUAUAAGAAGAUGCAAGAAGCACUGCUGAGUGAGAGAGCUGAUGGUCUGUCGGAGGAUCGACAGUCGAUCGAUGGAGCCAUCUCUGAAACCGCAGCCCUACUCGUCGUCGAACAUUCCAACUACGCUCGCAGCAAGUUUGAUCAACUACAGGAGAAGCUUAACAACAAGAUGCAGGCUCUUCAAGCUCUCAAAUCCUCUCUGAAGCCGGAGAGUCGAGUCUUGAGCAUCUUAGCGAAGGAAGUCGAGUGGCUGCAAGGAGAGAAAAGACAGCUCGAGGCACAUUUGAAUCAUACCGAAAUGUGGGCAGAACAUUUGGGUCACUGGAGGGCGGACGUCCAGAGUGCGGAAAUUCCAGAUAACGGGGACUCUCCUCAGUUCGUUCUUGUGGUUCACAUGGCGGAGGACGAGGGCAACUUGGAGAGCAUCUCCACAGGAUGGGUGGUUCUCCGCAGGCUGCCAGAAUUUCAAGAGCUUCAUCGAAAGCUGCGACAGCUUUGCUCCAAUGUUAAGAAUCUUGAGCUUCCCUCGCAACCCAUCAAGUUCUUUGGCAAGUCUGACAAAAGCACCUUGGACAAGGCUAAGGUCCAGAUACAGAAAUACCUGAACUUUGUCCUGGAAGAUGAGAGACUGAAUCAAAGCGAAGCUCUUUAUGCAUUUCUAAGUCCUAGCUCGGAGCAUCUGAAGCACACUGCUCCGUCCCCCAAGAAAUCUAGAUUUUCCUUAUCGACUCUAUUUAAAUCAUCCAGUGGUAGUGGAGAUUCACGAGAAAGAGAUGAAGAAGAGGACUACUCGUUGUUGCUAGAUGACAACGAGUCAGGUCGCACUGUAACCGAUGGUUACUUGGGCCCUGGAAAAGAUGCUAUCGCAGAGCCUCUGUAUGCACUCUUGGGAGAAGUCUUCGAUCUUAGAGGAGUGUUUCGAUGGCUCAGGCGAUCGUUGAUCACCUUUGUGCAAAUCACGUAUGGAAGAACAAUAAAUAGGCAAGUUAGAGAUAGCGUAGCCUGGAUAUUUUCCGAGCCCAUGUUGCACUAUUACAUUCAAUUAUUUACAAAAUCCUGGUGGCCUAACGGUCAACUGGUCGCGGCUGUAGUCACUCGAACGGAUGAAGAAAAGUUGAAAACUAGAGGGGAGGCUCGAAGGCAGUUUCUCAACAACGUACCUGAUGUACUGACGAACCUGGUGGGAGCACAAAGUGCUCAACGUGGCGCUAUUAAAGUAUUUGACACUUUACAGAACGUAAACCUAAACAAGCAGCUAUUCUAUGACAUAUUUGAGGUAUUGAUGUAUGAAGUCUUUCCAGAGCUUCAACACAAGUAACACUGCUUACAUUUAAACCAGCCAAUGUAUAAAAGACGAACAGGAUUAUAAAGACUAUUUUUUUACAUUUUCGAAUAUUCCAUUGAUAACAGAAGUUUACUAGCCUAACAUCAUCUUGCAGUGUAUCGAUUUAUUUCUUAAAACGGACAACAUAAACUCGUAACAAUGACUUACCACACGCCCUUCGGGGUGAACCAGCAGUAUUAAACUUGGACCAACCCUCGGGUCGAACUCAACAGGGAGGACGAUUCUGGCAUUCUGAUUAAUAAUCCGUGAAUAAUGAACACUGCUCUCCCGAUCGACAUACAGGUUACUUCAAAACGUGACGAGUAUCAAUUAUUACUAGUACUAAAAAAAAUUAUUGUGGAUUCAUUAUACUGUGUCUUUUAGGUUAGAAUGGGCACGUUCGAUAGGUCUUCACUUAAACCGUCUACAGGGAGUCUGGUCAGAAAUAUUUUAUAUACAAGUCAAUUUUUCCUGCAGUGUAGUUUCGAUCGUUAUUCCUAUUGAAUGAAUGUUCAAAUAACAAUGAGGUGCUAACUACCAAAGACAUCAGUGGUGACUUAUCGCAAUUUAUUCGUUGUACUAUUGUUUCGUACCUCUGAUUUGUUACAGAUAGGAUUUUAUAUAAAACUUGUUUAGUUGUAUCUCCUUGUUAAUUUUUCUUCGUAAUUUGAGGUCAUUUAAACCGUGUCUUACGAUGUGCCUGCACCUAAUUUAGGUUAUCGUUACUGAAAAGAAAGGUAUUCGAGUGGCUAAUGUCCAGCGAACUGUGCAAAAUAGGAGCGAUUUAUUCCCGAAUUCAACAGCAAUCACUGUCGUUUCUUUACUCCGUGUUCAAUCGAAGCGGUUAAUGUUCUAGCCCUGUCCUAUGCGCGUAAAACUAUUUUAUGAACCGAGUGACUAUAAUCUGUUGAUUAGUAAUAAGUUGCAGUAGAAUAAGGCAUUUAUCUAUUAUGGAACUCUAUCUCGUUACGAGGAGGUACGUCGGCAAGGAGCCUCCUAGUGUUACGAUCAGCUGUCAAUGUACCAUAAUUGUGCAAUGUGUUCGAUACGUUCAGGUGAAAUAAAAAUACUCAAGGAAACUGAUCGGUUUGUCCCUAUCAAUGAGUAGUUGAAUCAAGAUCAUUACAUAGGAUACAGAAUAUUUUAUUUCUGCGCCAUGCGAGGCAACAUGGCGCACAAAUACGUUUAAACAAUCUUCUAAAAGUACUUGCAACUCCUAUACAAAUAGUACAAUAUAGUGUCAUCCCUUAUGUUACAACCGUAGUAGUAAUUAAACAUAGCGAUACAUACGUUUAUGUACACAUGUAUAACAUUAGACUGGUUUUGGCACCGAGACAGUACGAAUACGAGAUCAUAUAGAAAAGACUCGCCCUCGGAGGAGCUUCUUCACAUUUUCUCUUUCUCACUCUCGCUCUCACUUGCUCUCGUUAUCUCUUUCUUUCUUCUCUCUCUCUCUCUCCCGUUCGAAAUUAAACGAAUUAUUACUUUAUUAAUUUAUUGAUCGAGUGAACGUUUAUUUUUUCUCUCAGGGUUCCUCGACUUCCGCCAUCGAAAGGGGACGAGGAGAAACAAAGAGCGGGCAACUCUGUCGGCUCUUGACAUUAAUUGACCUAUGACCUAAUCGAGUCGGUCCUCGUAAGUAAUGAGAAUGACAUAAUUAAUGAAUUACCGUACGUAUACCUAACACUUAGGACGAUAAUUGCAUCGCGCUUUUGCCCUCCCUCGACUUGUCGUUUGUCCGACACUUAGACUGUCCCUCGGUGAUUGAAAUUAAUUUUUUUUUCUCUUUUCUCCUUCCAAGGGACACUUUAAGACCCGAGCAAACCGGAAAAGGAGAGACGGCGUCGUCGAACGUCUUCGAUAUAACGCAUCUCUGAUAUCUUUUCUUUAUAAUACUUCCUCGUGGGGUAGGAACACUGUAAUAGUGGUAGUAAUAAUAACGUUAACGGUCUGCAUUUUAUACGGUGUCUAAAUAGGCUUACUUGGUCGGUUCAUCUGAGCCCUGAACUUCGCAAGGAACCCUCGUCGCUUGGUUCGUAAAAAUAGACAUUAAUAGUGGAGAACAAGGGUCGCUCCUUUACUCGCUAAACCGGCCCUAAAAAACCGUCCAGGCUUGACCCUUUAUUUAAUAAUUAAGUCCCACGCCGAUCUACUCGGGAAUUAUCACUCGAAAAUAUUUUCUGCCACACUCUCGAGGGUUCUCUCUCGGACUAGGUGCGACAAUCGUACAAAGGGUGAUAGAAAAUUAAUGAAAUUAAUAAUCGGGCCCCGGUUUAACGAACAACCAGGCGACCUGUAAAAAUGCCCAUGGCAUUUAAAAUAUCUCGAAGCGCGCGACGUCUUUUUCUCUCUUCUCUGUUGACUUUUGUCUCGGAGCAACAUCGAGAGUCAGAAAAUCUCGGAAAAUGUCGGAAAAUCUCACGGUAACAUCGCGCGCUUCUUUUAUAUACUUUUACCGUUUUCUUUUCUUUUUUUUCGGAAUUUUAUUUUCUUCCAAUCCCCUUUGACAUUUGCAUAACAAGUUUAUAAAUGUCAGGACGUCGGGUCGUCGUCGUGAUCGAGUUAGGGACAGUCGAACGACGUCGCCGACGAGCCUGGGAAGAGACCCUUUUCCCUCUUUUUCCUGCUUUUUCCUCCCUUUAAUGCGAAACGUGACCUGGGGAAUACCGGGGUGCAGCUUCCAGCGAAUCCUCUGCGGAGAUGGGCACAUCUAAUUGCAUCCAAUUUCGGCAAGGAUUUUCUUUUUUCUUCUUUUUCAACCGUGCAAAAAUCUAGCCCGAUCUGAUUUUUUCCUAGUCACUUUUUAAACAGCCGAUCGGACGCAAUUAGGUGAGGCGGUAAUUGAAUUACAAUUCGCUCAUCCCUCGCUCUUAUUUCGAGUUUAGGACCGUCUUCUCCCCUUAUUAAUAUGUAUAUAUAUAAAGAUAGAUAGGUAGCAUGCAUAUAUCGAUAACAUCUUGGAUGACGACAAUGGUGAACUAUACCGGAUAGUCGGAUACGUGUUGGGCUGUGGGGCGGUUCGGUUUCAGUAUUUCGGGUAUUUUGGUAUUUCGGGCAUUUCUGGUAUUUUCGUUAUUUCGGAUAUUCCGGGGGCGGAAAUCAAAUCUCGGACCCAGUUCCCUCAGUGGAGCUGGUAUUGUCUCGGGCUUCGCAAGACUGCGAUCGAGUAUUACUCUGAAUGUCUGGCUUUUUCAUUUAAGAAUCUCGAGUCGUCAAGAGAGUGCGCUUAACUGCGAUUUUUCCUGAAAUUGAUUCGAUUUCCCUUCCUCUCGUCCUGCGUAAAAAAAAGUAAAA
rnacentral:misc_RNA from 1 species